AUAGUUACAGAAAACAAGAUGUCGUAUAGUUACAGAUGACAAGAAGUUGAAGCGUGCCAGUGCGAGUACAAGUUUCAAGUCGUGGUGUUGCUCCAGAUAAAAAGAAACACAAAUCAAUUAUGAACAGGGAGUGCAUCCAAGCUGCCAAAUUCUGCAAGCCCUUCCCAACUAACAUUUCAGCUUCGGUUAAGGUAUUACAAAAGCUACAUUUCAGCUUCUUUUAAACUUUAGUAAGGUUGUUGGGCAUGGAAAAAGGAGAACGUUAUACAAGUUUGAUCUUCUAUAAGAAGUUUAAACCAAGCUUUACCGAAGCUCUACCGAAGCUUUGAGAUUUGACAGAUAGUUUUGGAAGAGCAUGUAUAGCUCUUUAAUACAUGUCUUAUCGAAAUUAAAAAAAAAAAACAACUACAAAAACAAA